rnacentral:rRNA from 1 species
UGAGCAACCUGCCCUCAGCUUUGGGAUAACCCUCGGAAACGGGGGCUAAUACCGGAUAUUCACUGCUUCGCGCAUGUGGGGUGGUGGAAAGUUUUUCGGCUGGGGAUGGGCUCGCGGCCUAUCAGCUUGUUGGUGGGGUGAUGGCCUACCAAGGCGACGACGGGUAGCCGGCCUGAGAGGGCGACCGGCCACACUGGGACUGAGACACGGCCCAGACCUCCUACGGGAGCA